rnacentral:ncRNA from 2 species
CAUUAGCUCACGGGGUGCCCAAUGUGCCAUGCGCAUAAGGCUGAGAUUAUGACCCGUAGAACCUGAUCCGACUAGCAUCGGCGUAGGAAUGAGCUAAAUGUAAUAA